GGCUAUACUGCAAGUCGAGCGGACAGAUGGGAGCUUGCUCCCUGAUGUUAGCGGCGGACGGGUGAGUAACACGUGGGUAACCUGCCUGUAAGACUGGGAUAACUCCGGGAAACCGGGGCUAAUACCGGAUGGUUGUUUGAACCGCAUGGUUCAGACAUAAAAGGUGGCUUCGGCUACCACUUACAGAUGGACCCGCGGCGCAUUAGCUAGUUGGUGAGGUAACGGCUCACCAAGGCGACGAUGCGUAGCCGACCUGAGAGGGUGAUCGGCCACACUGGGACUGAGACACGGCCCAGACUCCUACGGGAGGCAGCAGUAGGGAAUCUUCCGCAAUGGACGAAAGUCUGACGGAGCAACGCCGCGUGAGUGAUGAAGGUUUUCGGAUCGUAAAGCUCUGUUGUUAGGGAAGAACAAGUGCCGUUCAAAUAGGGCGGCACCUUGACGGUACCUAACCAGAAAGCCACGGCUAACUACGUGCCAGCAGCCGCGGUAAUACGUAGGUGGCAAGCGUUGUCCGGAAUUAUUGGGCGUAAAGGGCUCGCAGGCGGUUUCUUAAGUCUGAUGUGAAAGCCCCCGGCUCAACCGGGGAGGGUCAUUGGAAACUGGGGAACUUGAGUGCAGAAGAGGAGAGUGGAAUUCCACGUGUAGCGGUGAAAUGCGUAGAGAUGUGGAGGAACACCAGUGGCGAAGGCGACUCUCUGGUCUGUAACUGACGCUGAGGAGCGAAAGCGUGGGGAGCGAACAGGAUUAGAUACCCUGGUAGUCCACGCCGUAAACGAUGAGUGCUAAGUGUUAGGGGGUUUCCGCCCCUUAGUGCUGCAGCUAACGCAUUAAGCACUCCGCCUGGGGAGUACGGUCGCAAGACUGGAACUCAAAGGAAUUGACGGGGGC
rnacentral:rRNA from 1 species